CUUUACACAUGCAAGUCGGACGGCAGCGGGGUAGUGCUUGCACUACUGCCGGCGAGUGGCGAACGGGUGAGUAAUAUAUUGGAACGUACCGGGUAAUGGGGGAUAACCAAUCGAAAGAUUGGCUAAUACCGCAUACGCUCUGAGGAGGAAAGCAGGGGACCUUCGGGCCUUGCGUUAUUCGAGCGGCCAAUAUCUGAUUAGCUAGUUGGUGGGGUAAAGGCCUACCAAGGCGACGAUCAGUAGCGGGUCUGAGAGGAUGAUCCGCCACACUGGGACUGAGACACGGCCCAGACUCCUACGGGAGGCAGCAGUGGGGAAUUUUGGACAAUGGGCGCAAGCCUGAUCCAGCCAUGCCGCGUGUCUGAAGAAGGCCUUCGGGUUGUAAAGGACUUUUGUUAGGGAAGAAAAAGGAGCGGUUAAUACCCGUUUCUGCUGACGGUACCUAAAGAAUAAGCACCGGCUAACUACGUGCCAGCAGCCGCGGUAAUACGUAGGGUGCGAGCGUUAAUCGGAAUUACUGGGCGUAAAGCGAGCGCAGACGGUUACUUAAGCAGGAUGUGAAAUCCCCGGGCUCAACCUGGGAACUGCGUUCUGAACUGGGUGGCUAGAGUAUGUCAGAGGGGGGUAGAAUUCCACGUGUAGCAGUGAAAUGCGUAGAGAUGUGGAGGAAUACCGAUGGCGAAGGCAG
rnacentral:rRNA from 1 species